AUUGAACGCUGGCGGCAUGCCUUACACAUGCGAGUCGAACGGUAACAGGUCUUCGGAUGCUGACGAGUGGCGAACGGGUGAGUAAUACAUCGGAACGUGCCCGAUCGUGGGGGAUAACGAAGCGAAAGCUUUGCUAAUACCGCAUACGAUCUACGGAUGAAAGCAGGGGACCGCAAGGCCUUGCGCGAACGGAGCGGCCGAUGGCAGAUUAGGUAGUUGGUGGGAUAAAAGCUUACCAAGCCGACGAUCUGUAGCUGGUCUGAGAGGACGACCAGCCACACUGGGACUGAGACACGGCCCAGACUCCUACGGGAGGCAGCAGUGGGGAAUUUUGGACAAUGGGCGAAAGCCUGAUCCAGUCAUGCCGCGUGCAGGAUGAAGGCCUUCGGGUUGUAAACUGCUUUUGUACGGAACGAAAAGACUCUGGUUAAUACCUGGGGUCCAUGACGGUACCGUAAGAAUAAGCACCGGCUAACUACGUG
rnacentral:rRNA from 1 species